rnacentral:rRNA from 1 species
GAUGAACGCUAGCGGCAGGCCUAAUACAUGCAAGUCAAGGGGAUAGCAAUAUCACCGGCGGACGGGUGCGUAACGCGUACACAACGUGCCCAAGGGCGGAGGAAAGCGGCGGGAAACUGCCGGUAAUACUCCAUGGUGUUGUUGAGUGGCAUCACUUAACAACUAAAGUACAAGCGCCCUUGGAUCGGUGUGCGUUCGAUUAGCUAGUUGGCGGGGUAACGCCCACCAAGGCUUCGAUCGAUAGGGGGUGUGAGAGCAUGACCCCCCACACGGGUACUGAGACACGGACCCGACUCCUACGGGAGGCAGCAGUAAGGAAUAUUGGACAAUGGGCGGGAAGCCUGAUCCAGCCAUGCCGCGUGAAGGACGAAGGCGCUCAGCGUUGUAAACUUCUUUUGGAUGGGAACAAUAACUCCGACUUGUCGGAACUUGAGGGUACCAUCAGAAUAAGCACCGGCUAACUCCGUGCCAGCAGCCGCGGUAAAGUAGUCCGUGU